GAUCCUGGCUCAGGACGAACGCUGGCGGCGUGCUUAACACAUGCAAGUCGAACGAAGAGCGAUGGAAGCUUGCUUCUAUCAAUCUUAGUGGCGAACGGGUGAGUAACGCGUAAUCAACCUGCCCUUUAGAGGGGGACAACAGUUGGAAACGACUGCUAAUACCGCAUACGAUCUAACCUUGGCAUCGAGGAUGGAUGAAAGGUGGCCCCUAUUUAUAAGCUAUCACUGAAGGAGGGGAUUGCG
rnacentral:rRNA from 1 species